rnacentral:siRNA from 1 species
UCUGAAGAAGAAGAACGAUCAGAU